UACGUAGGUGGCGAGCGUUAUCCGGAAUUAUUGGGCGUAAAGAGCGCGCAGGUGGUUGAUUAAGUCUGAUGUGAGAGCCCACGGCUUAACCGUGGAGGGUCAUUGGAAACUGGUCGACUUGAGUGCAGAAGAGGGAAGUGGAAUUCCAUGUGUAGCGGUGAAAUGCGUAGAGAUAUGGAGGAACACCAGUGGCGAAGGCGGCUUCCUGGUCUGUAACUGACACUGAGGCGCGAAAGCGUGGGGAGCAAACAGGAUUAGA
rnacentral:rRNA from 1 species